rnacentral:rRNA from 1 species
UUUAUGGAGAGUUUGAUCCUGGCUCAGGAUGAACGCUGGCGGCGUGCCUAAUACAUGCAAGUCGAGCGAACAGAUAAGGAGCUUGCUCCUUUGACGUUAGCGGCGGACGGGUGAGUAACACGUGGGUAACCUACCUAUAAGACUGGAAUAACUCCGGGAAACCGGGGCUAAUGCCGGAUAACAUUUAGAACCGCAUGGUUCUAAAGUGAAAGAUGGUUUUG